GAUGAACGCUGGCGGAGUGCCUAACACAUGCAAGUCGAGCGGCAGCGCGAGUAGUUUACUACUUGGCGGCGAGCGGCGGACGGCUGAGUAACGCGUGGGAACAUGCCCCAAAGUGAGGAAUAACUGCCCGAAAGGGUAGCUAAUGCCGCAUACGAUCUUCGGAUUAAAGGAUUUAUCCGCUUUGGGAGUGGCCUGCGUACGAUUAGAUAGUUGGUGAGGUAAUGGCUCACCAAGUCUACGAUCGUUAACUGGUUUGAGAGGAUGAUCAGUCAGACUGGAACUGAGACACGGUCCAGACUCCUACGGGAGGCAGCAGUGAGGAAUCUUCCACAAUGGACGAAAGUCUGAUGGAGCAACUCCGCGUGCAGGAUGAAGGCCUUCGGGUCGUAAACUGCUUUAUGAGUGAAGAAUAUGACGGUAACUCAUG
rnacentral:rRNA from 1 species